CCUACGGGAGGCAGCAGUGAGGAAUAUUGGUCGAUGGACGCGAGCCUGAACCAGCCAAGUAGCGUGAAGGAUGACUGCCCUACGGGUUGUAAACUUCUUUUAUACAGGAAUAAACUGAGGCACUUGUGCCUUUUUGCAUGUACCUUAUGAAUAAGGAUCGGCUAACUCCGUGCCAGCAGCCGCGGUAAUACGGAGGAUCCGAGCGUUAUCCGGAUUUAUUGGUUUUAAAGGGAUCGUAGAUGGGUCGUGAAGGCAGUGGUAAAUGUUGGGGGCUAAACCGGAAAAUUGCAAUUGAUACUGGCAGCUUUGAGGACAGUUGGGGUGGGCGGAAUUCGUGGUGUAGCGGGGAAAUGCUUAGAUAUCACGAAGAACUCGGAUUGCGAAGGCAGCUAACUAAAC
rnacentral:rRNA from 1 species